rnacentral:rRNA from 1 species
AGCAGUCGCCACGGGAAUACGUAGGGUGCAAGCGUUAAUCGGAAUUACUGGGCGUAAAGCGUGCGCAGGCGGUUAUAUAAGACAGAUGUGAAAUCCCCGGGCUCAACCUGGGAACUGCAUUUGUGACUGUAUAGCUAGAGUACGGCAGAGGGGGAUGGAAUUCCGCGUGUAGCAGUGAAAUGCGUAGAUAUGCGGAGGAACACCGAUGGCGAAGGCAAUCCCCUGGGCCUGUACUGACGCUCAUGCACGAAAGCGUGGGGAGCAAACAGGAUUAGAUACCCGAGUAGUCCCUGUCUCUUAUAA